rnacentral:rRNA from 1 species
GCGAGCCUGAAGCAGCCAAGUCGCGUGAGGGAUGACGGCCCUACGGGUUGUAAACCUCUUUUGUCGGGGAGCAAAUUCCGCCACGUGUGGCGGAGUCGAGAGUACCCGAAGAAAAAGCAUCGGCUAACUCCGUGCCAGCAGCCGCGGUAAUACGGAGGAUGCGAGCGUUAUCCGGAUUUAUUGGGUUUAAAGGGUGCGUAGGCGGACUGUCAAGUCAGCGGUAAAAUACGGGGGCUCAACCUCCGCCCGCCGUUGAAACUGACGGUCUUGAGUGGGCGAGAAGUAUGCGGAAUGCGUGGUGUAGCGGUGAAAUGCAUAGAUAUCACGCAGAACUCCGAUUGCGAAGGCAGCAUACCGGCGCCCGACUGACGCUGAAGCACGAAAGCGUGGGUAUCGAACAGGAUUAGAUACCCUGGUAGUCCACGCAGUAAACGAU